rnacentral:rRNA from 1 species
UACGUAGGGUGCGAGCGUUAAUCGGAAUUACUGGGCGUAAAGCGUGCGCAGGCGGUUUUGCAAGCCGGAUGUGAAAUCCCCGGGCUCAACCUGGGAAUGGCAUUCGGGACUGCAAGGCUGGAGUGCGGCAGAGGAGACUGGAAUUCCUGGUGUAGCAGUGAAAUGCGUAGAUAUCAGGAGGAACACCGGUGGCGAAGGCGGUGGUCUGGGCCGGUACUGACGCUGAGGAGCGAAAGCGUGGGGAGCGAACAGG